CUGAGUUGUUAGAUCCACACUUAGCAAGGUCAAGCUGCAGUUGCGAAGGAUGCAAGAUCAAGAGGUGCUUGGCCCUUUCUGCGUUUUCCAUAAUGUGCACGUUCUGUCUGUGUUCUGACCUUGCUUGUGGUGUGGUCUUGUUUGUCUUGAUCCACCACAGCCCUAGUGCUCGGCCUAUGCUUGUGUUCUGUGGCAGUGUUUACGGUCAAGGCCUGGCUGUGAAUUCCCCACCGACUUCUGGAGUUCAGAUACUGUCUUGUUCUCAAAGGACAUGCGAGAGCCCAGCUGAUGCCUUGAAGAGCUGCACUUCCCUUGGUGCUGGGGAUGGAACCCAGGGUCCCCUGCGUGCUAGGGUGUUUUGGCAGGAAGUGGGAAGGAAAGCCACUGCCAGCAACUGCACCUGGUGAGGAGCUCUGCCACCUCUGGCUGUGUGAUCUGGGUAGGUCACUUAACCUCUCUGGGCCCAAGUGCUCAUGUCUGUACUUUCCCAUAGGUGCUCUUGGGAGGAAGGCCUGGCUUCCAGAUCCAUAAGGGUUGAGAUAGGCCUCUUUUCCUUCUCUGUCACGUACACACUUGCUCUUGAGGUGGCUACCAAGGACUGUUUAUGUCAUUUUGUUUUGCUGAUCAGUACAAAGAGCAAGAGGAUGAGGCACUUAGGCCCUGUCCAGAGAUCCCCAGCAGCUUAGAGAUUCUCUGCAUCUCAGGAACUGCAGUUUGCAACGACAGCUAAGCCCAUGACUUAAAAAUGAUACUUUCUGAGGAACGUGGGGGGUGGCAGGAGGGAGGUGCUCCCUGAUGACUGCUGGUAAGAGAUAUGCCCUGUCCACAAGGGCAGGAUAGGGUGGGAUCAUGGGUGAUUUCUAUUAAAGUCUGGGACUCUAUCCCUUGGGUGUGAGAUCUUAGGGGCCCGAGGCAGAGCCAAGGAGCAGCUCCUCAAGGCAUCAUCGGAUCUUAACUUCCACCAGGUGUUAACAAGCCAGUAACCUUAGCAAAACAUCAGACUUGAGGAUCAAUGGAACAGAUUGGAAGAUGCAGAAACAAUCCCAUACACACUCAGCCACCUCGUCUUUGACAAAGGAGCCAAACACCCUCACUGGAAACCUUUAUUUAAUACAUGGUGCUGGAAAAACUGGAUUUCCACAUGCUGAAGAUUAAAACAAGAACCCUAUCUUUCACCAGGCACAAAUCUAAAACUUAAAUAGGUCAAAGACCUGAACAUUAAAACAGAAACAUUAACUGUGCCAAAAGAUAGAUUAGGUAGAACUCUUGAAGACAUUGGUGUAGGCAGACUUUAUAAACAAAACUCCACCUGCACAGGGAACUAUCAAUCAAUAACAGAUCUCAUCAUCUUACUAAAGAGCUUUUGUGCAGCAAGAGAAACCACCAAUGGAGUGAAGAGAUAACCCAGUGUGGAAAAAAAUUUUGCUAGCUUUCCCUCAGACAGAGGACUACUAUCUAGAAUAUAUAAAGAAAUUUAAAAAGAAUCAGACUGGGGAUGAGGAUUUAGCUCAGUGGCGCUGUACCUGCCUCACAGCCACAAGGUCCUGAGUUCGAUUCCUAGUACUGAAAAAAAAAAAAGACCCCCCCGCAAAUGUAAAGACUCAAUCCAAAAAUGGGCAUCUGAAAUGAAUAGACACUUCUCAGAUGAGGAAGUCGAAUCAGCAAAUAAAUACAGGGAAAC
rnacentral:lncRNA from 1 species